GACGAACGCUGGCGGCGUGCUUAACACAUGCAAGUCGAACGGAAAGGCCCUGCUUUUGUGGGGUGCUCGAGUGGCGAACGGGUGAGUAACACGUGAGUAACCUGCCCUUGACUUUGGGAUAACUUCAGGAAACUGGGGCUAAUACCGGAUAGGAGCUCCUGCUGCAUGGUGGGGGUUGGAAAGUUUCGGCGGUUGGGGAUGGACUCGCGGCUUAUCAGCUUGUUGGUGGGGUAGUGGCUUACCAAGGCUUUGACGGGUAGCCGGCCUGAGAGGGUGACCGGCCACGUGGGGACUGCGCUCCGGCCCGGCCCCCUCGGGGGGGCGGCGGGGGGGAAUAUGGCACUGGGGGGGGAGGCCUGACGCCGCACCGCCGCGGGGGGGAGGAGGCCCUUCGGUUUGAAACCCGUUUCCCCUUGGGAGGAAGGGGGGGGGGGGUUAGGGGGUAAGAAGCCCCCGCCUAACUACGUC
rnacentral:rRNA from 1 species